rnacentral:rRNA from 1 species
UUCCGGUUGAUCCUGCCGGACCUGACUGCUAUCGGAUUGAUACUAAGCCAUGCGAGUCUUUGUAGUAAUACAAGGCAUACGGCUCAGUAACACGUAGUCAACCUACCCUAUGGACGAGAAUAAUCUCGGGAAACUGAGCAUAAUUCUUGAUAGAUCAUAAUGCCUGGAAUGGUUUAUGGUUAAAAUGAUUCGUCGCCAUAGGAUGGGACUGCGGCCUAUCAGCUUGUUGGUGAGGUAAUGGCCCACCAAGGCGAUUACAGGUACGGGCUCUGAGAGGAGAAGCCCGGAGAUGGGUACUGAGACACGGACCCAGGCCCUAUGGGGCGCAGCAGGCGAGAAAACUUUGCAAUGUGCGAAAGCACGACAAGGUUAAUCCGAGUGAUUUCUGCUAAAGAAAUCUUUUGCCAGUCGUAAAACCGCUGGUGAAUAAGGGGUGGGCAAGUUCUGGUGUCAGCCGCCGCGGUAAAACCAGCACCUCAAGUGGUCAGGAUGAUUAUUGGGCCUAAAGCAUCCGUAGCCGGCUUUGUAAGUUUUCGGUUAAAUCCAUGUGCUCAACGCAUGGGCUGCCGAAAAUACUGCAUAGCUAGGGAGUGGAAGAGGUAGACGGUACUCAGUAGGUAGGGGUAAAAUCCUUUGAUCUAUUGAUGACCACCUGUGGCGAAGGCGGUCUACCAGAACACGUUCGACGGUGAGGGAUGAAAGCUGGGGGAGCAAACCGGAUUAGAUACCCGGGUAGUCCCAGCUGUAAACGAUGCAGACUCGAUGAUGCAUUGGCAUAAUAGCCAUUGCAGUGUCGCAGGGAAGCCGUUAAGUCUGCCGCCUGGGAAGUACGUACGCAAGUAUGAAACUUAAAGGAAUUGGCGGGGGAGCACCACAAGGGGUGAAGCCUGCGGUUCAAUUGGAGUCAACGCCGGG